rnacentral:tRNA from 1 species
GGCGGGGUGGCAGAGAGUUUAUGCGGCCUGCAAAGCCGUUCACGCUGGUUAAAAUCCAGCCCCUGCCUCCA